UCGGCACAUAGAGAAGGAGACGAUUUGGCCCUUCACUCCUGUGUUGGCACGAGCUCGUCAACUGAAGUCUAAAGAUGUGCAGGCAUGUAAAGGAUGACCACCCACGGCACCGGGCAAAUAUGCAGAAGAUACCACAACCCUGAUGUCCUCCAGAAUUGAGGAAAAAGGUGGCAGAGAUUGCCGGCUUGGUAGGUGUUGACAGAAGAGCCUUCGAGAAUUACUGCAGUGCAUCUUGUAGUUGGUCCACACUGUGCAGCAGGGGUGAAGGGAGUACGUGAAUGUGGAAAGUAGCAGACGACAAUCAAGCAGGCUUCUCUGAGCCUCUUGCGCACUGUUUGAACUGCACUCAUCCAGGCAAGUGGAGAGUUUGCCAUCACACUCCUGACUUGCACCUUGCAGAUGGGUGGACAGGCUUUAGGGAGUCACAACAAACCUUCAAUAGAAUUAUGAAUGGUUCAUAGUUUUAGUCUGUACUUGGCAGAUGCAUCAAUCUGUAUCACUACAAAAUCUACAAGACUAGUAUGAGCUUGUAUUUAUAGAAUAAUACAACCCAGGAGGACACCUCUUGGUCUAUUCUACCUACUCUGCUGCAGUAAUCCAAUUCUACUCUCCUGCUCUUCCCCUGUCAAACUUUGUAAUUUAUUUCCUCCAUAGAUAUUUAUCAGACUCACUUUUGAAGUUCACUGUUGAAUUUGCUUCCAUGGCUCUGUCAGACGGUUCACAAUAACUCACUGUGUAAAAGAGAGAGAGCUUUCUUCAUGUCACUUUGGUUCCUUCACCAAGUACUUUAAAUCUGAGAGCUCUGGUUAUUGACUAUUCAGCUACUGGGAACAAUUUCUCCUUACUUACUGUCUCAAAACAGUCCAGGAUUUUAACACCUUUAUCAAAUUCCUGCUUAAAUUUCUCCAUUCUAGCAAUGUCCCUGUCUAUUUUAAUUUGUUCAUGAGAUGUGGGUAAUACUGGCUUGGUCUCUAUGUACUGCCAUCCCAGAGGGCAGUUAUUGUUCAACAGAGGUGUGGAGUC